GUGGGUGUGCGGGUGUCCAGUCUUCUCGGUCUUGAGCCUCGCCCGGCGAUGCAGCGUCCUUCGAGCUAGAACGAGGGGGUAGGGUCCCCCUUUGGCCAGAAAGUGGUGGGUAUGCGGUGUUCUCGGUCCCCUUGCAGGCGUUGACGAGAUUGUUUUCAAGGCAGCCGGUGUCUCCUUCCGGCCAAGCAACCACGGGGAACACCGGUGGGACGAAGGAAAGAAUGUUCAGGGGAAGAAGUGGGGUACUGCAACUCAUGUCUUGUUUUCAAGCUCGCAGGGUGUCUCCUUCGACAAGCAGAGGUGUUGAUGUUGGCUGUAAUCUUGACCAGUUGAUGGAUUCGUGUAAUAGCCCGAGACCGGCGCUUCAGAUGCCUUUCAUGUUUUCGUGAUAGCCGUGUUAAUUAUUUGUUUAUUGCAUUCAUCAUCACAUCAUUCACAUUGCAUCGGCACUCCGUUGUCAUCAUUUUUCAGAAACUUGCAUCCGUUCAUGGUUGUCGUU